GAUGAAGAACGCAGCGAAAUGCGAUACGUAAUGUGAAUUGCAGAAUUCAGUGAAUCAUCGAGUCUUUGAACGCACAUUGCGCCCCCUGGUAUUCCGGGGGGCAUGCCUGUCCGAGCGUCAUUGCUGCCCUCAAGCACGGCUUGUGUGUUGGGCCUCAGUCCUCCUCCCGGGGGACGGGCCCGAAAGGCAGCGGCGGCACCGCGUCCGGUCCUCGAGCGUAUGGGGCUUCGUCACCCGCUCUUGUAGGCCCGGCCGGCGCUUGCCGACACAUCAAUCUUUUUUCCAGGUUGACCUCGGAUCAGGUAGGGAUACCCGCUGAACUUAAGCAUAUCAAUAAGCGGAGGA
rnacentral:misc_RNA from 1 species